UAGGGAAUCUUCCGCAAUGGACGCAAGUCUGACGGAGCAACGCCGCGUGAGUGAAGAAGGAUUUCGGUUCGUAAAACUCUGUUGUUAGAGAAGAACAGCGCUUAGAGUAACUGUUAUGCGUGUGACGGUAUCUAACCAGAAAGCCACGGCUAACUACGUGCCAGCAGCCGCGGUAAUACGUAGGUGGUAAGCGUUGUCCGGAUUUAUUGGGCGUAAAGCGAGCGCAGGCGGUCAAUUAAGUCUGAUGUGAAAGCCCCCGGCUCAACCGGGGAGGGUCAUUGGAAAAUGGUUGACUUGAGUGCAGAAGAGGGGAGUGGAAUUCCGUGUGUAGCGGUGAAAUGCGUAGAUAUAUGGAGGAACGCCAGUGGCGAAGGCGACUAUCUGGUCUGUAACUGACGCUGAGGCUCGAAAGCGUGGGUAGCAAACAGG
rnacentral:rRNA from 1 species